rnacentral:SRP_RNA from 1 species
GGUCGGGUCCCAUGCAAGCGCCGCGCGCGAAUCUGGUCAGGCGGGGAACCGAGCAGCCAUAAGCGCAGUCGGUGCUGUGCCGUGGCAAACCCGACCACC